UACGGGAGGCAGCAGUGGGGAAUAUUGCACAAUGGGCGAAAGCCUGAUGCAGCUAUGCCGCGUGUAUGAAGAAGGCCUUAGGGUUGUAAAGUACUUUCAUCGGGGAGGAAAAACAAAACUAAUAAUUUUAUUUCUUGACGUUACCCGAAAAAGAAGCACCGGCUAACUCCGUGCCAGCAGCCGCGGUAAUACGGAGGGUGCUAGCGUUAAUCAGAAUUACUGGGCGUAAAGAGCACGUAGGUGGUUUUUUUAAGUCAGAUGUGAAAUCCCUGGGCUUAACCUAGGAACUGCAUUUUGAAACUGAAAUACUAGAGUAUCGUAGAGGGAGGUAGAAUUCUAGGUGUAGCGGUGAAAUGCGUAGAUAUCUGGAGGAAUACCUGUGGCGAAAGCGGCCUCCUAAACGAAUACUGACACUGAGGUGCGAAAGC
rnacentral:rRNA from 1 species